rnacentral:rRNA from 1 species
GACGAACGCUGGCGGCGUGCUUAACACAUGCAAGUCGAACGAAGAGCGAUGGAAGCUUGCUUCUAUCAAUCUUAGUGGCGAACGGGUGAGUAACGCGUAAUCAACCUGCCCUUCAGAGGGGGACAACAGUUGGAAACGACUGCUAAUACCGCAUACGAUCUAAUCUCGGCAUCGAGGAUAGAUGAAAGGUGGCCUCUACAUGUAAGCUAUCACUGAAGGAGGGGAUUGCGUCUGACUAGCUAGUUGGAGGGGUAACGGCCCACCAAGGCGAUGAUCAGUAGCCGGUCUGAGAGGAUGAACGGCCACAUUGGGACUGAGACACGGCCCAGACUCCUACGGGAGGCAGCAGUGGGGAAUCUUCCGCAAUGGACGAAAGUCUGACGGAGCAACGCCGCGUGAGUGAUGACGGCCUUCGGGUUGUAAAGCUCUGUUAAUCGGGACGAAAGGCCUUCUUGCGAAUAGUGAGAAGGAUUGACGGUACCGGAAUAGAAAGCCACGGCUAACUACGUG